rnacentral:rRNA from 1 species
UCAGUCGACUCCUACGGGGAGGCAGCAGUGGGGGAAUAUUGCACAAUGGGCGCAAGCCUGAUGCAGCCAUGCCGCGUGUAUGAAGAAGGACCUUCGGGUUGUAAAGUACUUUCAGCAGUGAGGAAGGUGGGUAUGGUUAAUAGCAUAUUCAUUUGACGUUAGCUGCAGAAGAAGCACCGGCUAACUCCGUGCCAGCAGCCGCGGUAAUACGGAGGGUGCGAGCGUUAAUCGGAAUUACUGGGCGUAAAGCGCAUGCAGGUGGUUUGUUAAGUCAGAUGUGAAAGCCCGGGGCGUCAACCUCGGAAUUGCAUUUGAAACUGGCAAACUAGAGUACUGUAGAGGGGGGUAGGAAUUUCAGGUGUAGCGGUGAAAUGCGUAGAGAUCUGAAGGAAUACCGGUGGCGAAGGCGGCCCCCUCGGACAGAUACUGACACUCAGAUGCGAAAGCGUGGGGAGCAAACAGGAUUAGAUACCCUGGUAG